GAUGAACGCUGGCGGCGUGCUUAACACAUGCAAGUCGAACGGAAAGGCCAGUGCUUGCACUGGUACUCGAGUGGCGAACGGGUGAGUAACACGUGGGUGAUCUGCCCUGCACUUCGGGAUAAGCCUGGGAAACUGGGUCUAAUACCGGAUAGGACAAUGGUUUGGAUGCCGUUGCGGAAAGUUUUUUCGGUGUGGGAUGAGCUCGCGGCCUAUCAGCUUGUUGGUGGGGUAAUGGCCUACCAAGGCGUCGACGGGUAGCCGGCCUGAGAGGGUGUACGGCCACAUUGGGACUGAGAUACGGCCCAGACUCCUACGGGAGGCAGCAGUGGGGAAUAUUGCACAAUGGGCGCAAGCCUGAUGCAGCGACGCCGCGUGGGGGAUGACGGCCUUCGGGUUGUAAACUCCUUUCGCUAGGGACGAAGCGUAUUUGUGACGGUACCUGGAGAAGAAGCACCGGCUAACUACGUG
rnacentral:rRNA from 1 species